AUUGAACGCUGGCGGCAGGCCUAACACAUGCAAGUCGAACGAGUGGCGGACGGGUGAGUAAUGUCUGGGAAACUGCCCGCUGGAGGGGGAUAACUACUGGAAACGGUAGCUAAUACCGCAUACCAUCGGAUGUGCCCAGAUGGGAUUAGCUAGUAGGUGGGGUAAUGGCUCACCUAGGCGACGAUCCCUAGCUGGUCUGAGAGGAUGACCAGCCACACUGGAACGGAGAAACGGUCCGGACUCCUACGGGAGGCAGAAGUGGGGAAUAUUGGAAAAUGGGGGAAAGCCUGAUGCAGCCAUGCCGCGUGUAUGAAGAAGGCCUUCGGGUUGUAAAGUACUUUCAGCGGGGAGGCGUUACCCGCAGAAGAAGCACCGGCUAACUCCGUGCCAGCAGCCGCGGUAAUUC
rnacentral:rRNA from 1 species